GGGGUCGUGGUAUAGUUGGUUAGCGCGCAGAUUUCAUACCCCCAGGAGCAGUCUGAAGUCGUGAUUUCGAGCCUCACCGAUCUCA